rnacentral:tRNA from 1 species
AGGGUAAUAGCUCAGUGGUAGAGUAUAUGCUUAGCAUGCAUAAGGUCCUGGGUUUAAUUCCCAGUACCUCCA